CGCCGCGUGAGUGAUGAAGGCUUUCGGGUCGUAAAGCUCUGUCAAGUGGGAAGAACUCAUAUGGUGUUAAUAUCGCCUUAUGCUGACGGUACCACUGAAGGAAGCACCGGCUAACUCCGUGCCAGCAGCCGCGGUAAUACGGGGGGUGCGAGCGUUAUUCGGAAUUACUGGGCGUAAAGAGCGCGUAGGCGGUCUUUUAAGUCAGGUGUGAAAGCCCGGGGCUCAACCCCGGAAGUGCACUUGAAACUAAGAGACUUGAGUAUGGGAGAGGGAAGUGGAAUUCCUGGUGUAGCGGUGAAAUGCGUAGAUAUCAGGAGGAACAUCAGUGGCGAAGGCGACUUCCUGGACCAAUACUGACGCUGAGGCGCGAAGGCGUGGGGAGCAAACAGGAUUAGAUACCC
rnacentral:rRNA from 1 species